rnacentral:rRNA from 1 species
UACGUAGGGUGCGAGCGUUAAUCGGAAUUACUGGGCGUAAAGCGUGCGCAGGCGGUUUUGUAAGCCAGAUGUGAAAUCCCCGGGCUUAACCUGGGAAUGGCAUUUGGGACUGCAAGGCUCGAGUGCGGCAGAGGAGACUGGAAUUCCUGGUGUAGCAGUGAAAUGCGUAGAUAUCAGGAGGAACACCGAGGGCGAAGGCAGGUCUCUGGGCUGACACUGACGCUAAUGCACGAAAGCGUGGGGAGCAAACAGG